AGUCAGUCCAUGUAGACCAACGUAAAUUAUAUAAAGGGGCUUGUUCCCCAGGUACAGAGUUAUCUGCUAAGAACUGAUACGCCUUCUUGAUCUCUUACAGAUUUUUCCAAAAAUACCGAGACAUGGAUGUUACUCAACAUGCUAAAACUCACCUGGAAAUUGAUGGAACAGCUUAUCACAGGCCAAAGCAACAACAGCUGUAUCUAUGCAAAUGCAGCUCGAUCUACCAAAGACUUAACAGAGGACAGCAGUGACAAUCUACAAGUUCCAUAUGUAGAUGUGACAUUUAAUUUUGGGUGGG